rnacentral:rRNA from 1 species
AACGAACGCUGGCGGCAUGCUUAACACAUGCAAGUCGAACGGGACGUUCGGGCCUAGUGGCGCACGUGUGCGUAACGAGUGGGAACCUGCCCUUAGGUUAGCUAUAACUCCCCGUAAGGGAUGUUAAUAAAGGAUAAUGUAAUAGGAGCAAAGAUUUAUUGCCUUUGGAUGGGCGCGCGUUGGAUUAGCUGGUUGGUAGUGUAAUAGCCUACCAAGGCGACGAUGCAUAGCUGGUCUGAGAGGAUGAUCAGCCACGCUGGGACUGAGGCACGGCCCAGAAUCCGACGCGAGGGAGCAGUGGAGUAUAUUGGAGGAUGGGCGAAAGCGUGGUCCAGCAACGCCGCGGAAGUGGGGAAGGCCGUAGGGUUGUAAAUCUCUUUUACCCGGGAUGAGAGUGACGGUACCGGGAAAAUAAGCACCGGCUAACUCCGUG